GAUCAUGGCUCAGGACGAACGCUGGCGGCGUGCCUAACACAUGCAAGUCGAACGAGAAUCUAUUAAUUGAUCCUUCGGGAUGAAGUUGAUAGAGGAAAGUGGCGGACGGGCGAGUAACGCGUGAGUAACCUGCCCAUAAGAGGGGGAUAAUCCAUGGAAACGUGGACUAAUACCGCAUAUUGAAUAUUUGCCGCAUGGCAGAUAUUUGAAAGAUUUAUCGCUUAUGGAUGGACUCGCGUCAGAUUAGCUAGUUGGUGAGGUAACGGCUCACCAAGGCGACGAUCUGUAGCCGAACUGAGAGGUUGAUCGGCCGCAUUGGGACUGAGACACGGCCCAGACUCCUACGGGAGGCAGCAGUGGGGAAUAUUGGGCAAUGGGGGCAACCCUGACCCAGCAACGCCGCGUGAAGGAAGAAGGCUUUCGGGUUGUAAACUUCUUUUACCAGGGACGAAGACGUGACGGUACCUGGAGAAAAAGCCACGGCUAACUACGUG
rnacentral:rRNA from 1 species